rnacentral:rRNA from 1 species
GACCCCUUUCUCAGUACCGAGAACCUCUAUAACUCUAUAGAGCCUUUUAUGCUAAGACUAGUAACAAGAGAUACUACUCUCCUUAAUGCAAACUCAACCCAGAAAGAACCAAUCACUGGGGUCUAACAGAACUAAGCAAAUGUAAAAACUUCACCAGAAAACCCUACCCCCACCUUACUGUUAACCUAACACCAGAGCAUUUCAAGAAAGAUUAAAAGAAAAAGAAGGAAUUCGGCAAACAACGGCCUCGCCUGUUUACCAAAAACAUCGCCUCUUGGCCCCCCCCAUAAGAGGUCCCGCCUGCCCAGUGACUCUGUUCAACGGCCGCGGUAUCCUAACCGUGCAAAGGUAGCGUAAUCACUUGUCUCCUAAAUAGAGACUAGUAUGAAAGGCAUCACGAAGGCUAAACUGUCUCCUUUCUCUAAUCAGUGAACCUAAUCCCCCUGUGAAGAAGCAGGGAUACGUAUAUAAGACGAGAAGACCCUAUGGAGCUUAAAACAUCACAACACCUGCUACCCCCUAAACAUCCCGAUCCGCCUCACAUAGCAUGAUGAUUAUGAGUUUUUGGUUGGGGUGACCGCGGAGAAUAACUAAUCCUCCACAAUGAAAGGGGAACCCCCCCCCUCAACAAUAAGCCACAACUUUAUGUAACAACAAAUUGACAUCCAUUGACCCAAUAUUUGAUCAACGAACCAAGUUACCCUAGGGAUAACAGCGCAAUCCACUUUAAGAGCCCCUAUCGACAAGUGGGCUUACGACCUCGAUGUUGGAUCGGGAUAUCCUAGUGGUGCAGCCGCUACUAAGGGUUCGUUUGUUCAACGAUAAAA